CUAAGCCAUCAGUUUAGAGGAAAGAAGAGAAACACGCAAAAGAUAAAGUGCGGCGGGUAGCCUAGUGGUUAGAGCGUUGAGCCAGUAACUGAAAGUUUGCUGGAUUCGAAUCACUGAGCUGACAAGGCUGAAGGGGAGUUUCACCCAUGGAGCCAUACAAGCUAGAACUGCCACUGCUUAUGGGGAUGACUUAGAAACGCUCCUGCUUUUUUUUGUUCUACUACAAUGGUGGAUUUUGUUUCCCUCUUGAUCUGAAUGUGUGCCUUCCCUGUGUGCAUUUUAAUUUUUAGGGCAAUGCAUGCCAACAUGUGUUAUGCCAUGGUAGUAAAGACAAGCUGCAUCCCUUAUAUGGGUGAAAUGAA